rnacentral:rRNA from 1 species
GGUGCUGAAGCGACAAAUGCCCUGCUUCCAGGAAAAGCCUCUAAGCAUCAGGUAACAUCAAAUCGUACCCCAAACCGACACAGGUGGUCAGGUAGAGAAUACCAAGGCGCUUGAGAGAACUCGGGUGAAGGAACUAGGCAAAAUGGUGCCGUAACUUCGGGAGAAGGCACGCUGAUAUGUAGGUGAAGCGACUUGCUCGUGGAGCUGAAAUCAGUCGAAGAUACCAGCUGGCUGCAACUGUUUAUUAAAAACACAGCACUGUGCAAACACGAAAGUGGACGUAUACGGUGUGACGCCUGCCCGGUGCCGGAAGGUUAAUUGAUGGGGUUAGCGGUAACGCGAAGCUCUUGAUCGAAGCCCCGGUAAACGGCGGCCGUAACUAUAACGGUCCUAAGGUAGCGAAAUUCCUUGUCGGGUAAGUUCCGACCUGCACGAAUGGCGUAAUGAUGGCCAGGCUGUCUCCACCCGAGACUCAGUGAAAUUGAACUCGCUGUGAAGAUGCAGUGUACCCGCGGCAAGACGGAAAGACCCCGUGAACCUUUACUAUAGCUUGACACUGAACAUUGAGCCUUGAUGUGUAGGAUAGGUGGGAGGCUUUGAAGUGUGGACGCCAGUCUGCAUGGAGCCGACCUUGAAAUACCACCCUUUAAUGUUUGAUGUUCUAACGUGGGCCCCUUACCGGGGUUGCGGACAGUGUCUGGUGGGUAGUUUGACUGGGGCGGUCUCCUCCUAAAGAGUAACGGAGGAGCACGAAGGUUGGCUAAUCCUGGUCGGACAUCAGGAGGUUAGUGCAAUGGCAUAAGCCAGCUUGACUGCGAGCGUGACGGCGCGAGCAGGUGCGAAAGCAGGUCAUAGUGAUCCGGUGGUUCUGAAUGGAAGGGCCAUCGCUCAACGGAUAAAAGGUACUCCGGGGAUAACAGGCUGAUACCGCCCAAGAGUUCAUAUCGACGGCGGUGUUUGGCACCUCGAUGUCGGCUCAUCACAUCCUGGGGCUGAAGUAGGUCCCAAGGGUAUGGCUGUUCGCCAUUUAAAGUGGUACGCGAGCUGGGUUUAGAACGUCGUGAGACAGUUCGGUCCCUAUCUGCCGUGGGCGCUGGAGAACUGAGGGGGGCUGCUCCUAGUACGAGAGGACCGGAGUGGACGCAUCACUGGUGUUCGGGUUGUCAUGCCAAUGGCACUGCCCGGUAGCUAAAUGCGGAAGAGAUAAGUGCUGAAAGCAUCUAAGCACGAAACUUGCCCCGAGAUGAGUUCUCCCUGACUCCUUGAGAGUCCUGAAGGAACGUUGAAGACGACGACGUUGAUAGGCCGGGUGUGUAAGCGCAGCGAUGCGUUGAGCUAACCGGUACUAAUGAACCGUGAGGCUUAACCUUACAACGCCGAAG